UACGUAGGGUGCGAGCGUUAAUCGGAAUUACUGGGCGUAAAGGGCAUGCAGGCGGUCCGACACGUUUUGUGUGACAGCGGGUGGCUUAACUACCCGAGGAUACGAAAGACGGUUGGACUUGAGGACUCGAGAGGGACACGGAAUUCCGGGUGGAGUGGUGAAAUGCGUAGAGAUCCGGAGGAACACCGAAGGCGAAGGCAGUGUCCUGGCGAGUGACUGACGCUGAGGUGCGAAAGCCAGGGAGCAAACGGG
rnacentral:rRNA from 1 species